CAGCUGUUUGCAAGGGAGCUGGAGAGGCCUCUUCCCCUAGACCUUGAAAUUAGGCUUGAGGAACUGCUCCGGAUUGUCCGUAACAAGCAGAACAGCACGUACCCAGCAAGACUUCCUGUCCUGACGAGGCACGACGCGAGCUGGCACGACCAGGAGGGGCGAGGAAGGAGGGUGCUGGGGGAGUCAGGCUGCACUGGCGGGGGUUGUGGGGGCUGUCUGUGUGUACGUGUGCAGGGGAGUACAUGGCAGAAGUGGGCAUAUUUCAGAGGGGAAACCUAGAGGUGUUUCCUAGAACUGAGAACCUAGAAGUGGCACGUCCUGGAGCUGCAGAGGCGAACCUGCCUGUAUCUCACCCAUGAUGCGUGGGGCCUAGGAGGACAGGGUUGGUCCAGCAGGGCCAUACAGCCAUGGGACAUUGGGCCCUGGCUGCUGUGCCAGAGAGAGCUGGGGGCCGCCGGGCAGACCCUGAGAAGGGAUGUGAGUGCACACCUGCUGGGUGCCUGCCUGGGAUGCUGCGCUCUAGGCUUCGUGAGUAGCCUCAGCUCGGGUGGAGGGGAGUUUGGCUCCUUGAGCCCCCUCCCUGCGCAUGCAGGCAUGCAUGCACAUACGCAGAUGUACAGUGUCCACACACAUAUAUGUAUCCACACACAUCCUUGUGCACACAUAGAUCCAUGCACACACAUGAAUAUACAUAUCAUGAAUACACAUGUGUGUUCAUGCAAGCAUGAACACCCAUACAUACACAUAUCCACACAUGCAUGCAAGCAUGCAACCUAUUCAUGCACACUUGCAUGCCUUCACACACACAUGCAUGCACACAUCCACACACACACUGUCUACAUAUACCAUGUGGAUUUACAGUGCAUCCAUGCCUACAGAAUAUACACACAUGUAUGCACACAUACAUGUUCACACACAUGCACACAUGCCUACGUGUGCAUACACAUGUCCAUGUACUCUUCACAUGCAGGUGCAUAUAUACAUAUGCACUAUCAUACACACAUGCUUUUUGCACACGUAUGUCUACACAUGCAUAUGUAUCACACUGGCAUAUGUAGAAAUGAUGCACCCAUGCUGUGCACACGCCUGUGCAUACUGCGGGCACGCACAGCCUUCCCUGUGCAGAUAACACGAAUCCAUGCACAUUGCACACACGUGUGUAUGCCUGUGCUGCACACAUCUGUCCCUAUGCAUGACACCAGUCAUGCAUGUGCACAAAUGGCUUCGCAUAUAUGGAUGUGUACACACAUAUGCGGCACCUGUGGCCCUGCCCACCCUCCUAGGCUGAGGAGAAGAUGUAUUUCUGGGUUGCUGCUGCAGCCAGCUCUUCCGGGGCUGCGGCUGGGUUCUGCCUCGCCUGCCUGGUCUGCACAGCUCCACCUGGCUCUUGCGGUCAGCCCUCCUCUCCACGCUGUGAGGACAUUUCUCAUUAACUCUUGUGGACCCUGGGCCUGACCAUAUGCUGUCCGCAGGCCUGGAUGCCCUCUGCCUCAUCUUUCCUGGGGCUCGCUUCCUUCAAGACUUGUCCCAUGAUGUUCCUCCUUCAGGAAGCCUCCGUGACCUCCCAGGCUGGAUCUGGGCCACUUUUGCCGGCCUCCUGCAUGCCCCAUGGGGCAUGGCCAUCAUCAGUAACCAUACAUCUCAGCUGUGUCCCAUCCCCACUGCCUGGUCCAGGGCUGGGCUCUCAGCUCACAGAAAGAGCUGAAUGAAGGCCUGGUGGCAGGAUGGGUGCCGUGAAGGGCAGAUGGGCUUGUGGGCCUGGCUCCAGCCUCCUUAGCCGCACUGAUGCUUGCUGGGUGCGGAGUGCAGGGGGUGCCUUCACCUGGUGGCUGCUGGUGCCAGCCCCAGUGCCCCUGGCCAACAGGCCCUUUUCUCAGUUCCAUGGAGUUUGGGGUCAUCAGAUGUGGCUUUAGGCUCCUGCUCAUUCCCUUACUUAUUGUCUGGCAGUGGGGGAGCCUUCUGGCUUCCAGGGCCUCAGUUUCCCCUGUCUGUAAAAUGGGAGCAUUGGACCAGAGCAUUCCGAGGCCCAUGCCAGCCCUAAGUGACCCCCUCCCCCAACUUGGCUGUGAGCUCCUGGGGGUGGGGGUGGCGCCUGCCUGCCCAUCUCUGCCCUCGGUUGGUGUCCGCAGGGGAAAGGGAAGAGGCUGGACUCGGGGAGAGACCCCUCUCCACUCAGCCCUGGUGGGUGCGGGAACCAAGGGAAGCCAGCCCUAUCUUCUUGUCUCAAGACCAAGAGGGCAUGCUUUCUCCCUGGAGCUGAGCUGAGCUUUCUUUCCCUAUGUUUAUUUGAAAUUUCGUUUUUAAAGACAAGUCAGGGAAAAAUGAGGCUUGCUUCUCUCCCUGCCCCUCCCUGAAGAAUUCCAGAAGCUGAUUUGUCUUGUCAGGAUGUGGCAGGGAGCCGUGGCCUGGGCUGGCUCUCUGAGCUGUUGCAUAUUGAUCAGCAUUGAUGGGUUUGGCACAGUCGAGUUCUUACAGAGCUGGCGGAAGUCCCUCUGGAGAAAGAACUGCUUCGGGGACUGGCUUUGAUUUGCAAUGAGUGUAAUAGAUUAAAGCAGUGGGUCAGCAUGUCUUAUUGAGCACCAGCUGUGUACCUCAGCCCUGGCCCUGCUGGGAUCCAAGCUCAGAUCCCCGCCUCCCCCCACCCUCUUGGUUGCCACCGAGCCCCACCUCUGCCUGCCCGCUGCACCUGCUCCAGUCUCCACCUGGCUUCUCCUGCUAGGGGCUGUGCCCUGCCCCCUAGCUGCCUGAGCCUGACAUUCAGGGCCCUCCAGUGCCCAACCUCAACCCACAGCCCUUCACUGGUUCAGUUGUCAUGCAGUCCGCAGACACCAGGAAGCAUCCUCUGUGUGCAGCCCUGGAGAUGUAGAGGUGACGAAGGCAGGGCGGCCCAGAAGACGUCACCUCCUGCUCCACCAUCCUGGGCCUGGGCCUAGCGGGGUAGGCUGGCAGCAGGCCUGCUGCCUGGACUCGGUUCGAGCUGGCUGGGUUUUCCUCUGUGACCUUUCCCAGCCUUGGUGGCCGCUGUGCACACUCCUCAGAAUGACGUCUGCAGAGCUCUCAGCCUGGGGCCUGCCCAUUGCUGGGUGGUUGCAGGAAGGAGGCUACUUGACCCCGUUCCAGCCAAUGAUACCUCCCUGAGGACAAGGGUGAAAUGUGCCGGGAGGCCCACUGCCUGCCUUCCUGCUUGCUUGGGCACAUGUGAGGAUGUGAUGCCCGGAGCAGCAGCAGCUGUCAUGUGACCAGGAGGAGCUGAGGAUGAGGAUGAAAACCAUGGAAGGAAAGAGGGGAGGAAGGUUCUGUAACUUGCGGCUGAACGCGUCCAAGCCAUGAGUUGUCCCCCAAGCUCGUGAGUUGUCCCCAGCUCAAUUCUGCCUCCUUUGGAGAGUGACGUCCCACACACCUGUGCAACCUUGCAUGCCAAAAGGACUUUGCAGACAUGACUGAGGACCUUGCAUGCGGGAGGUGAUCCCCACGACACCUGUGGACCCAGUGUCAUCAGGGUCCUCGUAAGUGAAAGAGGCAAGAGGAUCCCAGAAGAGGAGGUGUGAUGACAGAAGUGGAGGUCAGAGUGACAUGGAGACGGGACCCCUGGCUGCAGGAUGCAGUGCUUCUGGGAGCUGGAGAGGCCAAGAGACAGACUCUGGCCUGGAGCCUUCAGAAGGCACCGGCCCUGCAGACCACUUCAGACUUCUGACCUCCAGGGCCGGAAGAGGAAGCUUGGUGUGGUUCUAAGCAGUGGCAUUUGUGAUCAUUUCUCACCGCAGCCACAGUAGAUGGAGGCAACACCCGUGGGUGUUUGAGGGAUGGAUGAGUGGAAGCAUGCGUGUGGUGGAGGCCACUGCACCGUCCAAUUCCAGACAGUCCCGAGGAACGCCCGCUGGCAGCCCUGCCUCGGCUGUUGAGUCAUUAUGUGAUCUUGGGCAAGUCUGAACCUCUGCUUCACCACCUGUGAAUUCAGGGACAGGACUCAGUGGUCUUUCUCGGUCUUUCCAGGCCCCCAAGUCCUGGAGGGCACUGUGGGAGUGUGAGGUGGAGCCCGGGAGUCCCGCGGAUGGAGAUGAAAAUGCCAGCCCUGCUAGAUCCAGGCGGGAUGGAGUGUGGGGUGUGGGCACAGUGGCUUGUACAGGCCUGGGCUGGGCAGACUUGCCCAGGAGUCUCAGGCCACUGCGGAAGGAGGACGCGUGGCCAGCAGGUGCCACCAGGAGAGGAGAGGAGGGCCAGGCUGAGCUGCAUCUCUGGACUCCAAGGAGAGCUUGGAGAGGUGACUGAAACCCUGCCCCACCCCCAGCCUCUCUCCAUCUGUGGGUCCUUGGGCAAAUUGCCUCAUCUCUCUGAGCCUCGAAUGCGUAGCUUUCAGGACUAACUAGGGUACUGUGUACCAACUGCCUCUGCCAACGCCUCUGCACUGGGCAGCCCUGGGUACCUGGCUUGGGGGAGGAGUAGGCCUGGGAGGAGACUGAUGCUACAUUUCUCUUUAUCUAUCCCUGUAUUGUUUAAUUUGUUCCAAGUGCUUGAGUUACUUUGGCAAAUAGAAACAAUUCUAAUAAAGAGAACUAAGACCUUA
rnacentral:lncRNA from 1 species